rnacentral:rRNA from 1 species
CAGCCGCCGCGGUAAUACGUAGGGUGCAAGCGUUAAUCGGGAUUACUGGGCGUAAAGCGUGCGCAGGCGGCUAUGCAAGACAGAUGUGAAAUCCCCGGGCUCAACCUGGGAACUGCAUUUGUGACUGCAUGGCUAGAGUACGGUAGAGGGGGAUGGAAUCCCGCGUGUAGCAGUGAAAUGCGUAGAUAUGCGGAGGAACACCGAUGGCGAAGGCAAUCCCCUGGACCUGUACUGACGCUCAUGCACGAAAGCGUGGGGAGCAAACAGGAUUAGAUACCCCCGUAGUCCCUGUCUCUUAUAC